rnacentral:rRNA from 1 species
UCCGGAGGAGGCAAGCGUUAUCCGGAAUUACUGGGCGUAAAGCGUGCGCAGGCGGUUUUGUAAGUCAGAUGUGAAAUCCCCGGGCUUAACCUGGGAACUGCGUUUGAAACUACAAGGCUAGAGUGUAGCAGAGGGGGGUGGAAUUCCACGUGUAGCAGUGAAAUGCGUAGAGAUGUGGAGGAACACCGAUGGCGAAGGCAGCCCCCUGGGUGAACACUGACGCUCAGGCACGAAAGCGUGGGGAGCAAACAGG